rnacentral:rRNA from 1 species
GAUGAACGCUGGCGGCGUGCUUAACACAUGCAAGUCGAACGGUGAAGCAGGAGCUUGCUCCUGCGGAUCAGUGGCGAACGGGUGAGUAACACGUGAGCAAUCUGCCCUGGACUCUGGGAUAAGCGUUGGAACCGACGUCUAAUACCGGAUACGAGACGCGAAGGCAUCUUCAGCGUCUGGAAAGAACUUCGGUCCAGGAUGAGCUCGCGGCCUAUCAGGUAGUUGGUGAGGUAAUGGCUCACCAAGCCUACGACGGGUAGCCGGCCUGAGAGGGUGACCGGCCACACUGGGACUGAGACACGGCCCAGACUCCUACGGGAGGCAGCAGUGGGGAAUAUUGCACAAUGGGCGCAAGCCUGAUGCAGCAACGCCGCGUGAGGGACGACGGCCUUCGGGUUGUAAACCUCUUUUAGCAGGGAAGAAGCGAAAGUGACGGUACCUGCAGAAAAAGCACCGGCUAACUACGUGCCAGCCGCCGCCGUAACAC